rnacentral:rRNA from 1 species
CCUACGGGUGGCUGCAGUGGGGAAUAUUGGACAAUGGGCGAAAGCCUGAUCCAGCCAUGCCGCGUGUGUGAAGAAGGCCUUCGGGUUGUAAAGCACUUUCAGUGGGGAAGAAAGCCUUGGGGCUAAUACCCUCGAGGAAGGACAUCACCCACAGAAGAAGCACCGGCUAACACCGUGCCAGCAGCCGCGGUAAUACGGAGGGUGCGAGCGUUAAUCGGAAUUACUGGGCGUAAAGCGCGCGUAGGCGGUCUGAUAAGCCGGUUGUGAGAGCCCCGGGCUCAACCUGGGAACGGCAUCCGGAACUGUCAGGCUAGAGUGCAGGAGAGGAAGGUAGAAUUCCCGGUGUAGCGGUGAAAUGCGUAGAGAUCGGGAGGAAUACCAGUGGCGAAGGCGGCCUUCUGGACUGACACUGACGCUGAGGUGCGAAAGCGUGGGUAGCAAACAGGAUUAGAUACCCCAGUAGUC